UCCAGAGCGAGCAAGGAUCCCGGUGGGCUUCAUCCAGUUCUUGUCUCGCGGACGGCAGAUUCAUACGAUGCGAGCGACCGCACAUCCACCGACAUGGUCGCCCCACUGGGCGAUGCCAAGGGGACGGGGGGCCGAAGCGUCGGCUGCGAUUAGAAUCCACUUCCGGUGAUUUAGCACGUAGUUAAUCGCAGUUGCUGCAGGCAUUAAUCGCAAUUGAUGUUCGCCACUCUUUCCGGCGUCCGAUUAGUGCAGGUCCAUCAAUUGAUUCUUAUUCAGUUUCUUCCUUUAUGUGAUUCAUCUUCCUCCCUUAUUAGAUGCGCGAGGACGCUCACGAUUCUGGUUCGGUUUCUCCCUUUAAUCGUUGCGUCUCUAUAUAAUAUCCACCCACCCUGCUACUGCUCAUUCCCCAACCUUACUUGGCAACAUCAAAUCUUCUGGCCAUGCUUCUCGCCAAGUUGCCUCCGUAGGAUUAUCGCCCCUCCUUCCUCACAUCUUCCAUCCAGUUACUACUGAUACCGAGUCCCUUCUGAUUGAUGCCGCUUUCUUCUUUUGCUCCCAAUUCACGACAGACACUUGUUCUGCUGCAGUUGCUCUUACAUCUCUCAGUUGAUGUAUUGGAAUUGCCGACAGAUUCUGGUGGUUAGUUCAGGCACUUCUAAAGCUCACGAUUUGCAAUGGUUGCCACCAAGGGCAUUGCGGUCCACCGUGCACUGUGCACUUCAUCAUGUCUGAGGGUGCCAUCAGAUCUCCAACCAAUUGGUAUACUGUCCGUAUACUACUGAUGUACGCGGUUAUGUCCGACUUAAAAAAAAUGUGAAACUGCACUCUGUACUCUAAGCGUCUUCCUCUAUACUUAUACGGAUAAUAUACGUGAACAUGUUUAAUUGUUGGGAUAAGAAAGUUUCAGUUGAUUGUAACCGCUUCUUCAUCAUAGAAAAAGACAGACCAUAUGUUACUUCAGUCCACGUGGGGAUUUUAUUAAUGCUAUUGUAGCUUCGAAUUGUCUA